rnacentral:rRNA from 1 species
UACAGAGGUCCCAAGCGUUUGUUCGGAUUUACUGGGCGUAAAGGGUGCGUAGGUGGCGGGGUAAGUCUGGUGUGAAAGCUCCGAGCUCAACUCGGAAAAGCAUUGGAAACUAUCCCGCUGGAGGGUCGGAGGGGAGACUGGAAUUCUCGGUGUAGCAGUGAAAUGCGUAGAUAUCGAGAGGAACACCAGUGGCGAAGGCGAGUCUCUGGACGACUCCUGACACUGAGGCACGAAAGCUAGGGGAGCAAACAGG